AAUGGGCGCAAGCCUGAUGCAGCGACGCCGCGUGAGGGAUGACGGCCUUCGGGUUGUAAACCUCUUUCAGCAGGGAAGAAGCGAAAGUGACGGUACCUGCAGAAGAAGCGCCGGCUAACUACGUGCCAGCAGCCGCGGUAAUACGUAGGGCGCAAGCGUUGUCCGGAUUUAUUGGGCGUAAAGGGCUCGUAGGCGGUCUGUCACGUCGGAUGUGAAAACUCAGUGCUUAACACUGGGCCUGCAUUCGAUACGGGCAGACUAGAGUUCGGUAGGGGAGACUGGAACUCCUGGUGUAGCGGUGGAAUGCGCAGAUAUCAGGAAGAACACCGAUGGCGAAGGCAGGUCUCUGGGCCGAUACUGACGCUGAGGAGCGAAAGCGUGGGGAGCGAA
rnacentral:rRNA from 1 species